GACAUUCAAUUCCGAAAAAUUUUUAAACACAAUCGGUCGGGCACGCGUGUCUUUGCGCCUUCUUGCCUUUCUCCUUUUUUUUUUAACUCUUUAAAAACAAAUUUACAUUUUUCCACAGUUUCGUGGUGCGUGCAGGCAACACAAAAACAAAAAAGACAAAUCGUGUGCUCUGCUGUGGAUGUGUCAAACGCCAGCCAUUGUUAUUUAUGUGUGACAGAACAUAGAAAUAGAAAACAAACACACGACAACUCACGCUUGCAACAACUAAAACAUAGGACAUAGGCGUCACACUGGUCGAGAGAAGGUCCUGGGAAAGUAAACAAUUUUCAGUGCAUCAACACGCAGCACGAUACAGAGUGCCAUGUGGAGUCCCACACACUGCAAUGUAACGGUGCAGCGAGCGAGGGGUCUGCUCACCAAGGGGAAGAAUGGCACCAACAACUGCUUCGUCACAAUCGCCUUGGGUAAGGAGAAGUACCAGACGUCGGUCAAGGACAAGUCGGAGACGAAUGUCAACUGGAACGAGGAGUGCGAGCUAAAAAUCCCCGAUCAGGGCAAUCGGGCAGAGCUGACGCUCACUUGCUUGCACCGCAAUAACCUGGGCAUCGACGAGUUCCUGGGGCAGGCGACACUUCCCCUCAACGAGAUGGACGUGUACGACAGGCCGCGCUCCAAGUGGUUCAAGCUGGAGAGCAAGCCGGGCAAGGAGAAGAAGAACAAGGAGCGCGGGGAGCUCGAGGUGCGCAUCGGGUUCGUGGUCAAGUCCGGCUCCCUGACAGACCUCAGCAAGAAGGAUAAGCACAAGUCUUCCAUCGGGCAGCUGGCCAGCUCCGUGGGCGGCAGCCUCCUCUCCAUCGGCAACGGGGAGAAGCGGAAGAGCAUCAAGAAGCUGGCGGGGUCGCUCAGCUCCAAGUUGCAUCUGCGCAGCAAGAAGAAGCACCCGGACGCCGGCGGCGACGACAACAGCUCCUUCAGCGGCUCCUUCGCCAGCAUAGGCACCCCGAACAGCUCCACCGGCGGCCAGGGGGGCAGUGGCCGCCGCCGAGGCCAGCGUGCGGGCGAGGCCGAUCCCGGCGUUAUCAGCGAGGACGAGGACGAGUUUGUGUUCGAUAAUCUGUCGCACAAGAGCUCCGGCAGCUCCCUGAACAUCCAGCGGUCUGGCCUCCAGCCGCCACCCACCACCAUGGGGGGAGGAGCGCCUAACUUUGCACCACGAAACCCCUCGCCCCUGCUGAGCAAUGGCAAUGGACUGGGCAAUGGUCUGGCAAUCGGGAACGGCGUGGGAAAGGUCCAUCAUGGAGGUAAGCCCAACAGAAAGCCAGAGACGCUCGAUGAAGAUCCGCCCAUCGAUUCGGAGAUGGAACAGCUUGAGCUCGAUUUCAGUGUCCGCGCUCGCACCCUACCGCCUCCCUCGAAGCCGCCGCGCAUCCCCCAGCUCCAGCUGGAGGAGGGGAAGGACGAGCAGUACCAGCAGGAGGCUGUAAAGGAAAAGGAGCAGCAGCAGCAGCAGAAUCAGAAGGAGACGAAGAUGGGAAGAGAAAAUGAGAUGCAGAAGCAGAAGGAUAAGGAUAAAGAGACGACGGAGAACGACAAGGAUGAGUGGGCCACGAAACUGUACGGUGGCCUGGAGAUCGGGACCAGUGAUUCCCUCAAGCGCCGCAGCUGGGAGUCGCGUGUUCCGCUCCCUGCCAGCGUGGAUGAGACACCGCCACCGCUCCCUCCUCCAUCGAUGUCCUCGUCCAGCUCCUCGGACAGCGAUGCCGACGAGGAGGAGCCACUGCCCAAGCCCAAGCCCAAGCCGAAGACAACCAAGGCAGCUGCUCCCCCAGUUCCGGUUUCGGUUCGGGCUCCAACUUCUGUCCCAGCCUCAGUCGCAGUCGCAGUCGCAGUCCCAGUACCAUCUGUGUCCACUGUGACCUCCUCCUCGCUCUUCUCCCCAGACGUGGAGCAGCGCAACUUUGACGAAUUCAACGCGAGCUUUGCAAAGUUCGAGCAGCGAAAUAGCACAGCCAUCUUUGCGGAUGAGCCAGAGCUGGAGGAUCUGGAUGUGGAUGUGGAGGUGGUGAAGCCUAGCCCCACCCCCACGACCCGCCCGAAGCCGCAGCCUCGUUCCCUGGUGGAUCUCAAGGCGGAGGCGGAGAGGGCAGAGAGAGCAGAAGAGGAAGCGCGUCAGCAGCGCGCCGAGGAAGACGCCCGCCUGGAGGCAGAGCUGCGGCUGAAUGAGCAGCGGCUGCGCGUGGAGGAGGCGGCCCUCAGGCAGGAGCUGGAGGAUGAGCAGCGCCAGAAGGAGCUGCUGGAGGAGCAGCGGCGGCGCGAGGCCAAGCGGUGGGAGGAGGACCAGAGGCUGCUCAGCUUUGCCAAGCGAUCCACGUCUAUAGAGGAUGCGGAGCAGCCGCACCAACAGCGGCACAUUCAGAUGGCGGAGGAGCAGUAUGGCGAGCCAGAGCCAGAGGCAGAGGCAGAACUAGAACUAGAACUCGAGCCAGAGCACAAUUUCCUAACGCCCGAACAGUCACCCAAGGAGUUUCAAACAAACGGCGGCGGCACUGGCAACGGCAGGGAAAAGCGUCUGGGAAAGUUCAAAUACGGCAAUAAGCGAGAAAAAUAUAGCAACGACAAUGGGAGCAACUCGCCGAGUCCCAAGUCCUCAGAGCGAAUCAUCAUCGGCCACGAGAAGUCCGGGGGAUCGCACGCGGAACGCCGUUCGGAGAUCUCGGCACAGCUGGCGAAGAAGUACGAGGGAAAGUCGCGGGAGGAGCUGAUGUUGAUUGCCAAUGGCAUGGAGAACGAAGCUCUGCUGCAGCGGCAGCGCGUCAAGGAACUGGAGGAUUAUCUGGACAAUCUGCUGCUGCGAGUGAUGGAGACGCACCCGAAGAUCCUGCAGAACCCCUACUCGCGCACCACCUCAGCCAAAAGUUAUAAAAACUACAUCAAUAUGAAUGACUUUCUAAAGUAAGUGGCCGACGCCGCCGUGCAUGUUGCAAAGUUGCAUUUAAGUAGCACUUAACCACCACGACCCCAAAAAACAACAACAACUACACCACAACCAGAACCACCAAAUGACCCCAACAAAACAAAAAAGUAACCACCACAAUGCGCGACACAAAGAAGAAAGCAGACAACCAGAAGUCCCGGCAGUACACCCAGAAGGAACCAAAAAGAUGGAGCCUCAGCCUCCACUGAUGUCCAGUCGAGGAUGAAUGGUUGAGAGUGUCGUCGCAGCAGAUACAGCAGAUUCCAGUAGCCGCGUGGCGGGUCCGUGGAUAAGUUGCAGUUGCAGUUGCAGUGGCGAUUGCAUAUUAAAUGUAAAUCAAUGAAACACCAAGUUGCCUUUGUCGCCAAACAGCGAAAUUCAAGUGCUUUCUUACACUAAUUUAAGUACUCCUCGUAUCUGAGAAAAAGAAAAACUAAAUUUUACACGUAAUCACAUAGAUUUUAAGCAGGAAAAGAGGGACACAAGGGGGAGGCGAUGUAUUUUUAAAACUGAUAAUUGAAUUGAUUCCCCUCGUACUCCGAACAUAAACUAUAAACCAUAAACUAAAUUAAAUUAUUUGUACCAUAUACCAUAUACCGAUGUAACGAUCGCUAGAGACGGCAAUUUUUGAUUUGUUUUACCCCAAAUUGGAUUGUUUGUCCCCAUCGAUUGAUCGAUUGAUUGAAAUUAUCCCAAAAGUAUUUGUUUUUUUUGUCUGUCUGUUCUUAUUUUUGUUUCUUCCUUUUAUACAUAUGUAUGUCAAAUUUUGUAAGCGGAAGCGGCGCUACCCUUUUUUAGUGAAGUAAGCCCUAAAUUAUUUAUGUUUUAGCGAUUAAGUGAAAAGAGAAAGAGGAGUCGCUGCAGUUGAAAUAUAUUGAUACAUAAAAUGA